UACGGGGGGAGCAAGCGUUGUUCGGAUUUACUGGGCGUAAAGGGCGCGUAGGCGGUCGUGACAAGUCACUUGUGAAAUCUCCGGGCUUAACUCGGAACGGUCAAGUGAUACUGUCGGACUAGAGUACAGAAGGGGCAACUGGAAUUCUCGGUGUAGCGGUGAAAUGCGUAGAUAUCGAGAGGAACACCUGCGGCGAAGGCGGUUCUCUGGGCCUGUACUGACGCUGGAGGAGCGAAAGCGUGGGGAGCGAACAGG
rnacentral:rRNA from 1 species